rnacentral:rRNA from 1 species
AGUGAACGCUGGCGGUAGGCCUAACACAUGCAAGUCGAACGGCAGCACAGUAAGAGCUUGCUCUUACGGGUGGCGAGUGGCGGACGGGUGAGGAAUACAUCGGAAUCUACUUUUUCGUGGGGGAUAACGUAGUGAAACUUACGCUAAUACCGCAUACGACCUACGGGUGAAAGCAGGGGAUCUUCGGACCUUGCGCGAUUGAAUGAGCCGAUGUCGGAUUAGCUAGUUGGCGGGGUAAAGGCCCACCAAGGCGACGAUCCGUAGCUGGUCUGAGAGGAUGAUCAGCCACCCUGGAACUGAGACACGGUCCAGACUCCUACGGGAGGCAGCAGUGGGGAAUAUUGGACAAUGGGCGCAAGCCUGAUCCAGCCAUACCGCGUGGGUGAAGAAGGCCUUCGGGUUGUAAAGCCCUUUUGUUGGGAAAGAAAAGCAGCAGGUUAAUACCCCGCUGUUCUGACGGUACCCAAAGAAUAAGCACCGGCUAACUUCGUG